rnacentral:rRNA from 1 species
CAAGUCGUGGGGCAGCAGGGGUAGCAAUACCCGCUGGCGACCGGCAAACGGGUGCGGAACACGUACGCAACCUUCCUUUAACUGGAGGAUAGCCCCUCGAAAGAGGGAUUAAUACUCCGUAACAUAUACAUGUGGCAUCACAAGUAUAUUAUAGCUCCGGCGGUUAAAGAUGGGCGUGCGCCUGAUUAGAUAGUUGGCGGGGUAACGGCCCACCAAGUCUGCGAUCAGUAACUGGUGUGAGAGCACGACCAGUCACACGGGCACUGAGACACGGGCCCGACUCCUACGGGAGGCAGCAGUAAGGAAUAUUGGUCAAUGGACGCAAGUCUGAACCAGCCAUGCCGCGUGGAGGAUUAAGGCCCUCUGGGUUGUAAACUCCUUUUAUCUGGGAAGAAAUGCAUUUUUUCUAAAGUGCUUGACGGUACCAGAGGAAUAAGCACCGGCUAACUCCGUGCCAGCAGCCGCGGUAAUACGGAGGGUGCAAGCGUUAUCCGGAUUCACUGGGUUUAAAGGGUGCGUAGGCGGGCAGGUAAGUCCGUGGUGAAAUCUCUGAGCUUAACUCAGAAACUGCCAUGGAUACUAUUUGUCUUGAAUAUUGUGGAGGUAAGCGGAAUAUGUCAUGUAGCGGUGAAAUGCUUAGAUAUGACAUAGAACACCAAUUGCGAAGGCAGCUUACUACACAAUAAUUGACGCUGAGGCACGAAAGCGUGGGGAUCAAACAGGAUUAGAUACCCUGGUAGUCCACGCCCUAAACGAUGAUUACUCGACAUCAGCGAUACACUGUUGGUGUCUGAGCGAAAGCAUUAAGUAA